rnacentral:rRNA from 1 species
GGGCCCGCACAAGCGGUGGAGUAUGUGGUUUAAUUCGAUGCAACGCGAAGAACCUUACCAGGGCUUGACAUCCUGCGAACCUCUGGGAAACCGGAGGGUGCCUUCGGGAACGCAGUGACAGGUGGUGCAUGGCUGUCGUCAGCUCGUGUCGUGAGAUGUUGGGUUAAGUCCCGCAACGAGCGCAACCCACGUCUUUAGUUGCCAGCAUUUAGUUGGGCACUCUAGAGAGACCGCCGGUGACAAACCGGAGGAAGUGUGGAUGACGUCAAGUCAUCAUGCCCCUUAUGUCCAGGGCUGCACGCAUGCUACAAUGGCAAGUACAACGAGUCGCAAUACCGCGAGGUGGAGCAAAUCUCUUAAAAGCUUGUCUC